rnacentral:rRNA from 1 species
CGCGUGUGUGAAGAAGGCCUUCGGGUUGUAAAGCACUUUCAGCUGUGAGGAAAGGCGAGUGGUUAAUACCCGCUUGCUGUGACGUUAACAGCAGAAGAAGGACCGGCUAACUCCGUGCCAGCAGCCGCGGUAAUACGGAGGGUCCGAGCGUUAAUCGGAAUUACUGGGCGUAAAGCGCGCGUAGGUGGUUCAGUCAGUCAGAUGUGAAAGCCCCGGGCUCAACCUGGGAACUGCACCUGAUACUGCUGAGCUAGAGUACGGUAGAGGGUAGUGGAAUUUCCGGUGUAGCGGUGAAAUGCGUAGAGAUCGGAAGGAACACCAGUGGCGAAGGCGACUACCUGGACCGAUACUGACACUGAGGUGCGAAAGCGUGGGUAGCAAACAGGAUUAGAUACCCUGGUAGUCCACGCCGUAAACGAUGUCAACUAGCCGUUGGGGGACUUGAUCCUUUAGUGGCGAAGCUAACGCGAUAAGUUGACCGCCUGGGGAGUAC